CAUCGCCGCCAUACUGCCACCGCACCGCCGCCGGUCGCCGCCGUCUCCGGAAUCCGGAUUUCAACCAAAAUUUUCAGAUUUUCUUCUCUUCAUCCCCUCUUUCCAUUUCUCCAACCAAAAUCAUGAAAUUCAGCCAUUUAAUCCCCCAAAAACCCUAGAACCCGAAGCUAAAAUUGGGGCUUUUGUGAUUUCUUCUUUCCAAGCUCAAAUCAAGGCUACGGGUUUGGCAAGGAUUUUUGGUGAAGAAGGCAAAGGAGAAGGAAUAGGACGUGAUUUUUGAAGAAGAAAGGGAAACACGAUCGUUAAGGAAGCUUAAGCGGAAAGCAUCAGAGUGUGGAGUACGCCAACAUUUUCCAGGUUAUAACGAGGUCACUCCGGACGAUUUGGAUUAGAAGUGGGUCGUUGGCCAAGUUCGUGUGUUGCUGUUCCUGUUACUUGAAGUUCUUCCCUUGUGGUAUUCCAUCGUUUUACUCGUUUUUCAUUCCAUGUUGAACUCUGUGAGGUCCGCCUACCUGGGAGCGCGCCUCACCCCUUUGUUUUAUUGUUAUUGUUGAACUCCUUUCAUUUCGGUUAUGAUGUAAGCCCUAAGGCAUCACAGUGCACUUGCCCACUUUAUUUUGUUGCUUUUCCAGACUUGUUGAUUUAAAGGUUGGGUUGUUGACUUAAAGUCCUUUCUUAAAAGUUUUCUUGGUCUCCUAUUUUCUAAAAAUUGUGUUUUCAAAAGGCCUUGUAGUAUUAAGUUGGUAGGUCUACGGUAUGUCUACGACGUAUCGAGUUCCUAUUGGCUUAAUAUUACAGCGCUGUGGUAUACUCAUUCGGGUCGCCACAGAUUGGUCUGU